GAUGAACGCUGGCGGCGUGCUUAACACAUGCAAGUCGAACGAAGCAAUUAGAGUGCUUGCACUUUGAUUGACUGAGUGGCGGACGGGUGAGUAACGCGUGGGUAACCUGCCUCACACAGGGGGAUAACAGUUGGAAACGGCUGCUAAUACCGCAUAAGCGCACAGUACCGCAUGGUACAGUGUGAAAAACUCCGGUGGUGUGAGAUGGACCCGCGUCUGAUUAGCUAGUUGGUGAGGUAACGGCGUCACCAAGGCAACGAUCAGUAGACCGGCCUGAGAGGGUGAACGGCCGACAUUGGGACUGAGACACGGCCCAAACUCCUACGGAGGCAGCAGUGGGAAUAUUGGCACAAUGGGGGAAACCCUGAUGCAGCGACGCCGCGUGAACGAUGAAGGUUUCGGAGUUGUAAACCUCUGUCAUCGGGACGAUAAAUGACGGUACCCGAGAAGGAAGCUCCGG
rnacentral:rRNA from 1 species